CCGGGACCUUCAAGGACCACCCACCAGCCACUGUACACCCUGAAGCCGUGUGUGGACCAGGAGAUCAGCAGAACAGGAACCACAGAGCGUCAGCGGCAGACAUCCAAGCUGCACAGGGCACACGCAGCACCACGCAGAAUAAAUGACGUCCCUGAUCCACAGCUCAAGCCCAGCCACCCGCUGCCUCCUCGCCGCCUCCUCCCGGGACCUUCAAGGACCACCCACCAGCCACUGGGCCUUUUAUGACAGGAACAGGAACCACAGAGCGUCAGCCGCACACAUCGAAGCUGCACAGGGCACACGCGGCACCACGCAGAAUAAAUGACGUUCCUGGGCCAAGGCCGAAGCCCAGCCACCCGCUGCCUCCUCGCCGCCUCCUCCUGGGACCUUCAAGGAC